CUCGAGCGAAGCGAGAGAACGUUGCGCCAGCAACGGCCCGCAGGGCGAGCCACGAAGUGGCGAGUAAUCCUCUAUCACCGACCA
rnacentral:sRNA from 2 species